AUACUCCCGGAUUGGAGGGCUUAGCUCUAAGAUCCUUGGCGCCUUCCACCCUUCGGAGGUACAGAACUGCAAUGAGAGAGUGGGAGAGAUAUGUCCACUUACAUCAAGAACAAGUCUUUGGCAGGAUUCUCUUUCUCACGGAUUUGGAACAGAUCUAAAAUAUCAGCAGACAAGUGUAUCAUUUCCAAAGACUGAUUUUAUAACAGUCUAUCUGAGCUAGCUAUUAGUACAGCAGCCGGGAUUCAGUCAGUAUCCCAGCGGACGGGAUCCCGGCAGUCAAAAUACCAACGCCGAAAUACUGACACUACUCAGAAUGCAAAGCCCUGGGCCGGCAAUCCCGAAUGAGUAUCUGCCAGUCACUCUGACAGGAAGAAGAGGAUCAGGGAGACAGGGUGAGCAAGAAAGAUCGGAGUUAAAGGAACCUGAAGUAUGACUGCCUUUAUAGUGUGCUGACAACUAUUUCCCUGCACAAAGCCUCUAGAACAGACAUAGAACAAAAACAAGCAGCAUUUUUCAUUACAAACCUGUCUAAAAUACUGUUAAAUCUGUUUUUAUUAUUAUUUUUCUUCUCAGGUUCCAGCUUUUUUUUACAAAGUAAAAUAAAGUCUUAUGGAUCUUUUCUCACCCAUUUCUGUUUAAUUGCCCCAUAUAAAGUCUGGAUCU